ACUUGGAGGUUGUUCCCUUGAGGAGUGGCUUCCGGAGCUAACGCGUUAAGUCGACCGCCUGGGGAGUACGGCCGCAAGGUUAAAACUCAAAUGAAUUGACGGGGGCCCGCACAAGCGGUGGAGCAUGUGGUUUAAUUCGAUGCAACGCGAAGAACCUUACCUACUCUUGACAUCCANAGAAUUUGGCAGAGAUGCUUUGGUGCCUUCGGGAACUCUGAGACAGGUGCUGCAUGGCUGUCGUCAGCUCGUGUUGUGAAAUGUUGGGUUAAGUCCCGCAACGAGCGCAACCCUUAUCCUUUGUUGCCAGCGAUUCGGUCGGGAACUCAAAGGAGACUGCCGGGUGAUAAACCGGAGGAANGNGGGGANGANGUCAAGUCAUCAUGGCCCUUACGAGUAGGGCUACACACGUGCUACAAUGGCGCAUACAAAGAGAAGCGACCUCGCGAGAGCAAGCGGACCUCAUAAAGUGCGUCGUAGUCCGGAUCGGAGUCUGCAACUCGACUCCGUGAAGUCGGAAUCGCUAGUAAUCGUGGAUCAGAAUGCCACGGUGAAUACGUUCCCGGGCCUUGUACACACCNCCNGUCACACCAUGGGAGUGGGUUGCAAAAGAAGUAGGUAGCNUAACNUUCGGGAGGGNGCUAC
rnacentral:rRNA from 1 species